AUUGAACGCUGGCGGCAGGCCUAACACAUGCAAGUCGAGCGGAUGAGUGGAGCUUGCUCCAUGAUUCAGCGGCGGACGGGUGAGUAAUGCCUAGGAAUCUGCCUGGUAGUGGGGGACAACGUUUCGAAAGGAACGCUAAUACCGCAUACGUCCUACGGGAGAAAGUGGGGGAUCUUCGGACCUCACGCUAUCAGAUGAGCCUAGGUCGGAUUAGCUAGUUGGUGAGGUAAAGGCUCACCAAGGCGACGAUCCGUAACUGGUCUGAGAGGAUGAUCAGUCACACUGGAACUGAGACACGGUCCAGACUCCUACGGGAGGCAGCAGUGGGGAAUAUUGGACAAUGGGCGAAAGCCUGAUCCAGCCAUGCCGCGUGUGUGAAGAAGGUCUUCGGAUUGUAAAGCACUUUAAGUUGGGAGGAGGGGCAGUAAGUUAAUACCUUGCUGUUUUGACGUUACCAACAGAAUAAGCACCGGCGAACUUCGU
rnacentral:rRNA from 1 species